AAAAUCAGGAAGUAAUGGUGAGCUCAAUGCGGGGGACUUCUAAGCAGCACAGCACCUGGCACCGGCGUGAUGAGGAUGCAGGAACCAACAUGAACAGAACCAUUGGUACAGCAGAAGCAGAGGAAGUAAAGAGUGAGGACGAUGAUUAUGAAAAUCAGGAAGUAAUGGUGAGCUCAAAGCGGAGGACUUCUAAGCAGCA